GUGUAAUUACAGACUACAUACCAACACCCCGUCGUAAUUUACAUUACUUGAUGUCAUGGAAAAAUAUUAGACGAAGAUUGUUUUUAUCUGCGAACAGUAACACCACGGAGGGAAUCCAGCCGCACCAUCACCUGAAGAAGACAAAAGACGGAGAUUUUAAGAACACAAUCUGCAAAAGACUGCUGUCACAUGAAGAAGACACAUUAGUAAAUAACAGCGGGUUGAUAACGAAGACGCGAGACGGAGUUUGGACGUCAGCCAAAGGGAGGGUCGGUCCACGUUUGUACCGCUCAAGAUGUUUGGCUGCUCUCUGGGAAGCCGGGAGGCUGUCAGCGGCGGCGACGGGCGGCGGGCACUCCGGCCAUAUGCGGAGACAAAACCGACACGAGGGGCGAGCGGGAAACUCAGCCGACGUAUUGUUUGUAAGAAACUGACAGCUAAAUCUGCUAUUGUAAAAAUACGGGUAAAACUUGGUCAGGAUUCCACGGUGUUAAUGCUAUACUGUAUGCACAAAAGCUACACUAUGGUCCAACGAUGA